UACAGAGGGCUCAAGCGUUAAUCGGAAUCACUGGGCUUAAAGGGUCCGCAGGCGGACAAGCAAGUAUCUUGUGAAAUACCAUGGCUCAACCAUGGAAUUGCUCGGUAAACUGCUUGUCUUGAACACGGUAGGGGCCAUCGGAACUCUAGGUGGAGCGGUGAAAUGCGUAGAUAUCUAGAGGAACGCCAGAGGCGAAGGCGGAUGGCUGGGCCGUUGUUGACGCUCAGGGACGAAAGCGUGGGUAGCGAACGGG
rnacentral:rRNA from 1 species